UAUAUUUUGUGUUGGGGCAAAAACAAAAUCAGCCGAACUGAGACGUGAAGGCACGGCAAAAGUCAUUUCUCUCUUUCUUCUCUCCUCCUCCUCUUUCAUUUAUCGUUUCCACCGCCAGUACCAUCUCCCUCCACUGGAUCAACCGAUCAUGUUUGAUUGUUUUCUUCAUCCAAUCUUGUAGUCUAUACUCAACAAUUCCAUGACUCUGCCUCCGAAUUUGUCUCAUCAUCACCAAUGAUUACUUACUUACUUGAAUGGAUAGAUUUAGAUUUAGUCUAAUCUAUCUCCAAGGCUGGUUUCUCCUCAGAUUCUAGCUCAAUUUCUGAAAGUGAUUUCUUUUUGGUUUUUCAGAUUAACACUUCGUCACUUAGUUCAUGAGUGACCAGAAUUACUUGGGUAAGUAAUUGUAAAUUUACCUCUUCUCUUCCUUUCUUUGAUUCCGAUCUAAUUUUAUUGUUUAACUGAAUGCUUCCAGAAAGAGUGUCCAAAAAUCACUUAAAAUUAUGAAUCUUCAUCUAUAAAAUGGUUGUGAGGUCAGUUCAUAGUUUGGCAAAAAAAGUUAGUCAUUUGAGUUGCAUGUUCUCAUUAUCCAAGACUGAAAUGAGAUCCAUUCUUAUGAAGUAUGUGAAAUUACUACUACAUAUAUUAGAAAAAUGAUAACAUAAACAUUUGAUUCAGAAAUGGAAUUUAUUAUCUUAUCUUGUUAUCAUAUAACAAAAUUUGUUAUAAACAUGGACUCAUCAAUGAUUAAUAUUAUCACGGAGGUUCCAAAGUUGUAUGGUAGAGAUUGAUAGUAUGUUCUUGAGCGAAGAAAUUAGCAAGUGAGAGCUUCUGAAUUAAUCAAUGGGAGUAUUAAAUUAAGAAGCAACACCAGUUCCAUAUAAAACACAUGAAAAAGGUUGGGAGUAGUUUGGUUGUUUGAUUAAAAUGUUAGAGAUGAAGGUGUGUGAUCUUCCUCAAGGUAUGAAGAACUCUAACUUCUACUUUCCAUGAAGUCUCUUGUAAGGCUUCACAUCUUGGAGAACGGCGUGGGAUGCAGCCAUUACUAUGUGUGGCAUUCUUAGUCCAAGACGAAGCCCAGAUAACAAAUAAACCUAAAAAAACAUGUGACCUCUUUCAGCCCAAUAACGAAUCGAAGCUUUGGCGAAAAUUGAAUCUAUAGUUGAAAUCAAAACUCACGGAGCCCCAUUGGGCAAACGGAUAAAUGCGCGGAUCUAAUCCUUAAUGGGUCGGAUAUAACAGAUGGAGAACAUAUGACGCAAGUAAGAGAUAAUAUUGCAAAUAUGUUGUGGGAGAAUCAAAGUAAUAGAUAAUACUUUUUUAAUGUGUUGUACUUUUUUAUAUUAUAACUAUUCAACGCAUUUAACAAUAUGUAUGUUAAAAAGUUAAAUUUAUAUUUU